AGAACGAACGCUGGCGGCAUGCCUAACACAUGCAAGUCGAACGAGACCUUUCGGGGUCUAGUGGCGCACGGGUGCGUAACGCGUGGGAAUCUGCCCCUUGGUUCGGAAUAACAGUUAGAAAUGACUGCUAAUACCGGAUGACGACGUAAGUCCAAAGAUUUAUCGCCGAGGGAUGAGCCCGCGUAGGAUUAGCUAGUUGGUGAGGUAACGGCUCACCAAGGCGACGAUCCUUAGCUGGUCUGAGAGGAUGAUCAGCCACACUGGGACUGAGACACGGCCCAGACUCCUACGGGAGGCAGCAGUGGGGAAUAUUGGACAAUGGGCGAAAGCCUGAUCCAGCAAUGCCGCGUGAGUGAUGAAGGCCUUAGGGUUGUAAAGCUCUUUUACCAGGGAUGAUAAUGACAGUACCUGGAGAAUAAGCUCCGGCUAACUCCGUGCCAGCAGCCGC
rnacentral:rRNA from 1 species